CUAUUACUGUCUUUCAUGAAAAGGCAUCCAGGUGACAUAAUUUCAACGUUUAUGUUGUUAUAGAAGAAAAGGUCCCAGGACGUGGAUGUUCCUGUAAAUUAAAAGCUAGACAAUCAAGUGUUGUAGUUUUGCUGCAUAUUGCUUUAGCAGCAAAAGACAACUAAUUGUUCGUAAGGCCUUCUUUUGGAUUAAAGAUGUCACCAAGACAAGUUUUAAUUCUGUUUGUGCUUGGAAUUUCUUGCAAUAUUGCACAGCAGCGUGUUUUAAGUCGCAAACAAGUUAAAAUUACGACACCUCUGUCUAACCCAUAUGAUAAAUAUGACCAGUUGUGCAGUUACUACAAGCAGUUAUGUAACUGCAAAAGGAUUCGACAGUUUUGUGUUGAUCCGUCUUGCUGCAACCCAUCACCAUUUGCUGUCAUCCGAAUGAUUGGCCAGAUGAUAGAGGAGGAUGACGACUGAAUUAUUCUUCAGAAAACUUGGACAUACAUACUUCAACUACCUGCUUUUUGUAGUGGACAUUUAUGCUACAACCGACUGCUAUAUGUAGUGGACAUUCAUUCUACAAUCGCCUGCUUUAAAUAGUGGAUUUGCAUACCACAACCGCCUGUUUAUUCAGUGAACAUAUACAAUACACUCACUAUAUAUACGUUAAUGAACCAGCAAUUAUUAUAGUCAUGAUGAAAUGUAAUAACUGUAUAAAAGGGAAUAGUGCA